rnacentral:tRNA from 1 species
CCUUUGAUAGCUCAGUUGGUAGAGCGGAGGACUGUAGAUCCUUAGGUCGCUGGUUCAAAUCCGGCUCGAAGGA